CCUACGGGUGGCAGCAGUGAGGAAUAUUGGUCAAUGGCCGGAAGGCUGAACCAGCCAAGCCGCGUGAAGGACGAAGGUGCCAAGCAUUGUAAACUUCUUUUGUCAAGGGACAAAAUCAGGCUCGAGAGCCUGACCGAGGGUACUUGAAGAAAAAGCAUCGGCUAACUCCGUGCCAGCAGCCGCGGUAAUACGGAGGAUGCGAGCGUUAUCCGGAUUUAGUGGGUUAAAAGGGUGCGUAGGCGGGCUGUUAAGUCAGCGGUAAAAUCCCGGGGCUCAACCCCGGCGAGCCGUUGAAAAUGGCUGUCUUGAGAUGUCGAGAGGUAUGCGGAAUGCGCAGUGUAGCGGUGAAAUGCUUAGAUAUUGCGCAGAACUCCGAUUGCGAAGGCAGCAUACCGGCGGCGAUCUGACGCUGAGGCACGAAAGCGUGGGUAUCGAACAGGAUUAGAUACCCCGGUAGUC
rnacentral:rRNA from 1 species